GAGAGAGAGAGAAUACGAUGUAUCUGUGAUACUACGUGCGGGUUACUGAACUGCACGGGGAGGGAGAGCAGAGCAAUCAGCAGCAACUCGAACUACUCUCAAGUCAAGAGGUUACACUAGAAGUAGUAUAGUGUCGUACGAUCGACCUUGCACGGUCAACAAAAGUAAUGGUUUGAGUAGUCUACCUCCGAUCCGAGCUGCUCCUUUUUCUCGUCGAGGUUAGUCAGUGGUCACCUGUCUAGACGUCUCUUGUCCGUGAUCACUGGGAAUUAUGACGCAGCGUGGUAGCAAAGGCAGCGCUGGCGACCGCCGAUCCGGUGGAAGCAGCAGUCAGGGGGCAGGAUCUGCUUUCCAAGCGGGAUCGAAUCGCGCUGGCGUGGCGGAGCCGUCGCCCCGUGGCAAGCGCAGGCUAAGUUUGAUACUGGUGGUGAUCGUGGUGGUGAUCGGUGCUGCUCUGUGGCGCUGGUCGCUGCUGGGUAAAACCAUUAUGCAAGACGACAGCACCAUCGACGUGCCGCAAGACCAGCGAGCAGCAGGCGCGGCGAUGCCCAUCAUCGACGAGGGUGUGCUUCCGGGUGGCUUGGACGAGGGCAAGUUCAUAGUUUCCGACUCUUCCGGAAGCAGUGUUGUCGGUGGAGGUGGUCCUGCCGCGAACCGACUGUAGUGCAGGAAGGCACCCAUUUCCCGUUACCGCUACUGCGAUAAUACGGAGAGGGCUGGUGUCCGCCACUUGUCAAGCCCAUGGCCAGCAAAACCGGUGGAACUUGGCUAGCUAAUCAUAAUGUGUACAAGAGCAUUGCUUUCGCUCUGAAAAGGUCAGCCUGAAGACUUGACCCACAAUCAGUGGCCCAAUCAGACAGACAUUGGUCCAUUUGUCUUGUUUUUGACAUCUCUCCGCCUUUCUCUUCUCCAACUUACGGUAACACCCUGUUUGUUUCUUGCGCUGCGGCAUAUAUAUGUUCCAACACAUACUUCAGCCGUGACAGCCAGUACAACCCUUGCAAUGGUUGAACUUGCCAUCCAACAGUACUAUGUGAAUGUGCCGCAGUAUGUAAACGUACAUACAUGGCGCAUUUGAUUUGUCUCCUCUGACACCUAAUAUUAUUAUCACCAAGUUUUCGUAACUCAAACUUAGUGAAAAGUUGGUGUACAAAGUCAAGCAUGUGUUUCACACUAUGAUGAAUGAUGAGAGCUUACAAGAUGUCUGCCUCAUCGAGCCCAAUGAGAUUCCGGCUUCUAUGCUGGGUAUGUAACUCCCUGUCACACGCUGUGACCCGGCAAGACUCUCCAUGUG